GACGAACGCUGGCGGCGUGCUUAACACAUGCAAGUCGAACGGAAAGGCCCUGCUUUUGUGGGUUGCUCGAGUGGCGAACGGGUGCGUAACACGUGAGUAACCUGCCCUUGACUUUGGGAUAACUUCAGGAAACUGGGGCUAAUACCGGCUAGGAGCUCCUGCUGCAUGGUGGGGGUUGGAACGUUUCGGCGGGUGGGGAUGGAAUCGCGGCUUAUCAGCUUGUUGGUGGGGUAGUGUCUUACCAAGGCUUUGACGGGUAGCCGGCCUGAGAGGGUGACCGGACACAUUGGGACUGAGAUAAGGCCCAGACUCCUCCGGGAGGCAGCAGUGGGGAAUAUUGCACAAUGGGCGGAAGCCUGAUGCAGCAACGCCGCGUGCGGGAUGACGGCCUUCGGGUUGUAAACCGCUUUCGCCUGUGACGAAGCGUGAGUGACGGUAAUGGGUAAAGAAGCACCGGCUAACUACGUG
rnacentral:rRNA from 1 species